rnacentral:lncRNA from 1 species
GGAAUAUACAAAAUUCCCAGCUGGAAUAAAUCUGGAAUCUAUUUUCCAUUUAUGUACAGCUGCUGGGACCCAAAGCAGGAUUACAGCAGGACCGACUGGUGAAGAAUUGGACACAUUUUUGCUGGGGCUAGAGAGGAUCGGGUGCUGUUGUUUGCAAUCUUGUGGGCAGCUGCCAGAGAUCCAUCUUCCUUCUGCAAUCUAUUCUGAGCCCUUUGGAAACCAACACUGAGGCAAUAAGCCUCACAAACUGGAACAGGGACUUUGGUAAUAAGGGCUUCAGUUUCGCUUGGGACACAGUUGUCUGAUCUCCAUGGCUGCCAUUUUCCCUUUGUUCACAAGGUCUACGCCACCUCAGGACUACUGGAGAUGGCUGUGACCUUGUGAGCUUCCAACGGUUUGAACUGUUAGCUGCUAGAGAUCCAGGAACUGGAAUCCAUAUACUAGAAUUUGGCAAAAGACCAACCCAGUGAAGAGGGAGCAAGAUACAGCCCGGCUGUGAGUCACUUCCCAUGCCCAGCCCAGAUGCCAUUCUCUGGAGCAAUUUCAUGUAUCAGAAUCAAGAGAAGAGCAUACAUGCUAACCUUGACCACAUAAGAAGAAAUGGAAAUGAGAAUGAAUGGGCAAAGAUUGGCAGUUAAAGGGGUAAGUGAGAAGUUAUGACAUUUAUCCAUGGAAAUGAAUUUAGUUAAGUGGAGAUCAUUGUUUUUUUUUUAAGUUUCAUUGGUUUUAUAAACGUUUGAUUUUUGUUAUUCAAUUCUUUCAAUCAUGUUUGACCCUUACUGACCUGAUUUGGGAUUUUCUUGGCAAAGAU